GAUUAAAAGCACUUAGGCUUUUUAUGGUAGUGGGGACUAGUAACAUCACUUGCUAGUAAACAGCGUACUAGUUAGUGUCGUCACACAAGAUUUAAAGUCACUGUACCCAUUUUUUCUGUUUACGAGAUAAAAUGCGUAUCAAAUAUUUUCUGGAAAUCUAUCUGACUUACUAAACUGUUUUUUUUUGUCAAAUACCCUAUAAACACAUGUGGUUUUAACCGUUUAUUCUAUUCUAUUUAUUCUACAUAUUUAAAAUAACUUCAAUUUAUACCAGUUAUUAAUGAACGGAAUUAAUCCCUUUUUUGUAUUAUUUUUGUCGUAGGUAUAAAUGUAUAAAGUACAUUCAUUGCAUGAUUAAGGAGACGUAGGUACACACGUAAGCAGCAAUAAACGUCAACCUUACGUGAAGGUACCAGAUAAACAGAUCAAGUGGUAUUAAAAUUAAUGCUCCUCAUGGAAACGUGCACCCACCUGUCGAUUUCUUUGUGCAAUAGAAAUUUAGGUUAUAAGAAAAUGUUAUUGAUAUCAUAAACAAACAUGUGACUGGAAUAUUUCUUAAGUUUGAGCCCCUUAUCAAGCGUUGUUUGUUGUUUACGUGUUAGCCCUACGAAUAUACAAAUAUUUGUUAAUAUGUCAUUGAAAUUAUCGAAUUACGCUUUUAUUAUUACUCGUCGUAACUGGAUGUUGUAUCAACUUGUGUCUGGUAUAAACAAGUGAUACGAUUCUUGUAAAUGACUGGACAUCAAAGACGUGUGGAGAUCGGAGAUCAUGUAGUACCGGUGUCGUUAUCGAUAACUCUGUUACAAAACAUUUGCAUCCGCCCGAAUUAUUGCCAGAGUUCGUGACAUUCGUUUGUUUUGAUUCGCUUUCCAAAACAAUGGUUUUCAAGCAUUCAUUUGUCAAUUUCUUCUAUCUGAAUUUUAUUACUUUAUUAUUAUUGCUGGCUAUCAAAUGUUUUAGGUAUUUAUUAUGUCACUCGUCAUGUUGUGGAAAAAUUUUGAUUGGCAUCAUGCCGUUAGGAUUAAAAUUUCUUUAUUGUGGUAUCAAAUGGUUAUAAAAUAAAUUAUAUUGUUUUAUGAAUCCAAGGUUUAAUGAUUGCGAAAAUACGUCUGUAAAUUGUGACAAAGUACAUCAUUACUAGAACAUCCGGGAACUAGAAGGUUUCAUCAUGGAAACGUGUAUAUAUUUUUUUAGGAAAGUUCUAGUUGCAAGCUCGAGUUACUGAAGUUCUUACAAGAAAAAUAUGAAGCAAUAUUUAUUUACCCAGAAAAACAAGUUACUAGAUUCAUAAUUACUUAUAAUCUUCCUUUUUGUUUACAUUUUUUUAAGGUUUGUUUCUUAAGCAACAUGCUACCUUUAGACAACCGUAGAAUGGGGUAAAUCGAGAUUCGACGGCAAAAAGAAGAAAGUUUUCUUUUCGGUAUUCUUGCUUAAAUAAAACUUCUUUAACAAUAUUUUUUAUUAAAUGCUAGGGAGUACA